GUGAACAGAGCACGCGCAAAUGGUUCGAUUCGAGUCGCAGUUGUAUUAGUUUUAACAAAGUUUUGUCAGAUUUAUCCAACAACUGACUUAAAGUGUAUCACAAAUGAGAUUUCCUAGUUCAAUGUGAACAAAUAUAGAACAUCCCAAAGGAAAGAGUGAGUAGAAAUAGCCAGACAUAAUUGAGACUUGUGCGUGAUUCUGUUCUGAGGUGUGUGCAGCCUGUUUCUUUCGGUAUUCUGGUGAUGUUGCGGAAGUGAAGGCUAAAGUGCGCCCCAGUGGGCCAGUGGACUUGCCCCAAGAAGAAAAUGGGUUCACCAAGCCAACCUAGGACGUCUCGUUGGAAGAGAGCAUUUUCGAAAGCAACUCAACUGAAUCUACAGGCGGAAACCAAAAGGCUGACCAGUUGCCAGACAGAGCCCAAUUGAGAUGCGAAUGGUUUGAGCUGUGGUUGAGUUCGGGAGGAGCCUACACGAAAGUAUGUUUACUAUAUCCAUAACGAGUGGAAGCUCAAUUGUUCUUGGAAGACCUCAUCAGUUCGACAUCGCUUUAAGAUUUAUUAUCAUAUAAGUAUGAACAUACGACCUUUAUUUCAUAAGAAUUUACUGGGCAUACGGA
rnacentral:sRNA from 1 species